rnacentral:rRNA from 1 species
AUGGAAUCGGCGAUUGGCGCGGCAACCGGGCUCGUCGGCAGCGUGCUGAAUCUGCUCUCCAACGAGCUCGUGGGGGCGUACGUCGCCAGCACCGACCUCGGCCUCAAGUCCGUCGAGAUCAAGAAAGAUCUCCUGCACGCGCAAGCGCUGCUACAAGAGGCCCAGACGAGGGGUGCCAAGGACAACCUCGGGCUGAAGGGGCUGCUGCAGGAGCUCACCGUCAAGGCCGACGAGGCCGAGGAUGCGCUGGAUGAGCUCCACUACUUCAUCAUUCAGGACCAGCUCGACGGCACUCGCUUCGCGGUGCCGGACCUGGGCGAUGACCUUCGCGGUCAUGCUCGCCACGGUCGCCAUGCUAUUCGCCAUGUCGUCGGUAACUGCCUUGCAUGCUUUUCUUGUUCGUCGACUAUGAAAGAUGAUAAUAGUGGUGCUGCUGCUGCUGUUCCUAUUAACCCACUCAAUCCAACCAAGACUGAUAGUGCUGGUCAAGAUGGUCCAGUUGAUAAGCUGAAAUUCGAUAGAGUGGCCAUGUCCAAGAAAAUUAAGUCAGUGAUGGAGGAACUACACUCCCUAUGUGAGCCUGUAUCCAAAUUCCUCUGCAUAACUCCACACCAUGGUAGCACUGAAACUGCUGUCAACCUAAUUCGUCCUCCAACGGGAUCAAUCAGUGCGCAGCAUACAUUGUAUGGAAGGGCAGACGUUUUCGAGGGAACCAAAGAUGAUAUAACCAGUGGCAGAUUCUAUACCGAAACCCUUUCAGUUCUUGCUGUAGUUGGUCCAGGUGGUAUUGGAAAGACAACUUUCGCCCAACACCUGUAUAAUGAUAAAACGAUACAAGAGCACUUUGCUGUUAGGGUCUGGGUAUGUGUGUCGACUGAUUUUGAUGUGCUUAAGCUCAGCCAACAGAUCCUUAGUUGCAUACAAGAAAGCAACUCUCCAAAUCAAACAACAAAUUUAGACCAGCUCCAAAUAUCCAUCACACAGGAACUCAAGUCUAAAAGGGUUUUAGUUGUGUUUGAUGAUAUAUGGAAGUGCAAUAAUCAGGGUUGGGAAGACCUGCUAGCUCCUUUCAGGAAAGGGGAAACCAAGGGUAACAUGGUUCUCGUCACAACUCGAUUUCCAUCCAUAGCUGAAAUGGUGAAAACAACACCUUCAAUACAACUAAAAGGCCUCGAGUCUGAUGAAUUCUUCCCAUUCUUUGAAGCAUUCAUAUUUGAUGAAAAAAACCCUGAGUACCAAGGUGACCUAGCUAGUAUUGCACGGGCUAUUGCUAAGAAAUUGAUGGGUUCACCUCUAGCAGGCAAAACCGUUGGUCGAUUAUUGAGGAAGGAGAUUUCUCGGAAGCACUGGAUGGAAGUUCUCGAAAACAACAAAUGGCAAAAACAAGAAAAUGAUGAUGGCAUUAUGACAUCUCUCAGGAUUAGCUAUGAUUACCUUCCUUCCCAUCUGAAAAAAUGUUUCCCAUAUUUUGCCUUAUUCCCUGAAGAUUACAAGUUUAAGAAUUUAGAGAUUACAUAUUUCUGGAUUGCAAUAGGAAUCACAGAAAAAGAUGAGGAUUACAUGGAACAACUAGUGGAAAAUGGUUUUGUUGUGAAGGAGAAUGUUCAUUGGUCAAGUCAACAGUACUAUGUACUGCAUGAUUUACUACAUGAACUGUCCCGAAGUGUUUCCUCACAAGAAUGCCUCAAUAUAUAUGAUAGUAAAAGGUUUAAAGCCGAUGCCGUUCCAAAAUCUAUUCGUCAUUUGUCCAUUACCAUUGAAGACAACUAUGAUGUGACUUUUAUUGAAGAAAUGAUUAAGUUGAAGAGCAAGGUAGACAUUGCAAAUUUGCGGGCUUUGAUGAUUUUUAGAAGAUACGGAGAAACAGUUCGUGAGAUUUUAAAAGAUACUUUCAAGGAUGUAGAGGGCCUUCGUGUCCUAUUUAUAGUUGUGAAGUCCCCAAAUUUGUUCCCAUGUGAUUUCUCAAAACUUAUCCACCUCCGAUACCUAAAAGUUGGAACAUGGGACGAAGUGACUUUGCCUAGCACACUGUCCAGACUUUGUCACCUAAAACUAUUGGACCUGAGUGGUUGGCAUGGUAGUUAUGAAUUGCCUAGAGACACUAGCCGCCUUAUCAGUUUAUGCCAUAUUAUUGCUGGAAAAAAAUUCCAUUGCAAUAUUGCUGAGGUUGGAAAGAUGAAGUGUUUAAAGGAGCUUAAAGAAUUCCAUGUCAUGAAAGAGAGUGUUGGAUAUGAACUGUGUGAGUUGGGGCAGUUAACAGAUCUUGGAGGAGAACUCUGUAUACGUAAUCUUGAAAAGGUGACAACCAAGGAUGAGGCUAUGGAAGCCAAACUUGAGUCAAAAGGUGAUUUGAAAGGGUUGGGGUUGGUUUGGGGAUCAUCUGAUGCCGUUGAUGGUACAACAAAAUUAGUUGAUGUUCUUGAUGCUCUUCAGCCACACCCUAACCUUGCAGCACUUGGCAUCAUAGGUCAUGGUGGUACAAGUGGUCCUAGUUGGUUGUGUGGUGACAUUAAGUUUGAGUUGUUGGAGUAUCUUCACCUAGAGGGAGUAUCUUGGGUCACUCUUCCUCCUUUUGAGUACUUGCCGCAGCUCACAUCACUCACAUUGAGCAACAUUUAUGAAGUUAGUGAGAUCCGCCAUGUCUUUGGUGGCGCUACAAACAAAAGUUUUUUGCAGUUGAAGCUGAUUGUCCUUGAUUCAUUGCCUGAACUUAUUGAGUGGGUUGGGGUGCCUAAUGAUUCGUUUGCAAGGCUUGAAACUAUUUAUUGCAGGUCAUGCCCCAAUCUCCGUACACUACCCUUCCUGCGCGAGUACUCUGCUGGCUGUUAUAACCAUCUGUCAAAACUUGAAAUUUUUGAUUGCCCAAAGUUGUCUCUCCCUCCCAUGCCUCACAGCUCCACAAUGAUAGUUUGUGAUGUGAGACAUAGUUCCGCAGAGCUGACUUAUGCAGGGAACAACAUGUAUAUUAAUGGGUAUAAUGGUGAGGUGGACUUGCAUAACCUGCGAAAAUUAGAGAAAAUGAGUAUUACAGAUGCAUCACACAUUUCAAUGACAGAGCUGACCAAUCUGAAAUCCCUAAGAAGACUAGAUGUCAGAAGAUGCAGCUUCACGUGCCAUGGACUCCAGGACCUCUCGUGCCUCCAAUCACUUACAGUAUACAACUGUGGCAACUUCUUUCCAUGGCAUACCGAAGCAGCUCACACCAUCAAGCUUUUCCCUGCUUCCCUCGAGACACUUGAGAUUGAAGGAGAGUCAGGCAUGCAGGCAAUGGCUCCGCUCAGCAAUCUGAAAUCCCUAAGAAGACUAGAUGUCAGAAGAUGCAGCAUCAGGUGCCAUGGACUGCAGGACCUCGCGUGCCUCCAAUCACUUACAGUAAAAGACUGUGGCAACUUCUUUCUGCGGCCCAUCGAAGCAGCUCAAACCAUCAUCAAUCCUUUGCCUGCUUUCAUCGAGGAACUUGAGAUUGAAGGAGAGUCAGGCAUGCAGUCAAUGGCUCCGCUCUCGAACCUCACUUGUCUCACCGAUCUUAUACUGGUGAACUCUGAGAAUUUAACAGUGGAUUGUUUUAAUCCUCUUAUCACAGUCAACCUCAACAGUUUGAAGAUCUACAACAGAGGAAAUUGUCUUAGCCGUUCUGUAUCAGCGGAUUUGUUCUCAGAAUUGGUGGUAGCAAGGACUAACCUAAUAUUGCCUGCAGCCUCCUUCCAGCUGCGAGAACUUACAGUGGAUUGCAUCUCAGCAGUGCUUGUUGCUCCCAUCUGUAGCCACCUCGCCGCUACCAUCAAGACUUUAGAAUUCUGGUAUGAUCAGCGGGCAGAAAGCUUCACAGAAGAGGAAGACAGGGCUCUUCAGCUCCUCACAUCCCUCCGUUUCAUCAGUUUUAUGGAUUGCCCGAAUCUGCUGUGCCUUCCUCAAGGCCUACACAGCCUUCCUUCUCUUAAGACACUAUUUGUCCAAGAUUGUCCUAAAAUCCGAUCUCUGCACAAGGGGGACUUUCCCACUUCACUUGAGUGUCUAUUAGUGCAGGGUUGCAGUCCCGGGCUACAAGAGCAAGCCAAGAAAUUAAAAGGAACAAAACCAGCUUUUAAUGUGAUACUUGAACUUGAGUAG